rnacentral:tRNA from 2 species
GCCCCGGUCGUAUAGCCAGGUCAGCCAUUGCAUGGGCCUAAAGAGCCGAUGAUCCCGGGUUCAAAUCCCGGCCGGGGCA